GUUUUUCCGAUGAAGGGAUGAGUAGAAUCAACCGUCUAUAGGUAGCUUAUGCUAUGAAGAGAGCCGGGGUAGCUGAAAACCGGUAUAGAUGAUGGUUUGAAGAUGGUCCUGGGAGGAGUUUACUUUCGAGUGUUUGACAUAAGGGAGUAACGUAGCUGGCGUUAACAGAAGAAGUCUGAGACUUCAUGAGCCUUUUUGUUGUGAAAUGAAAAGGGAAUUUGGGUGGUACCACGUGAGUUAUGCUCUCGUCCCUCUG
rnacentral:ncRNA from 1 species